rnacentral:lncRNA from 1 species
UCCAUGAGGUUUUUGACUACCUUUCCAUAAAACUUAGUUUAAUGAAGCCUGAUUUUCUUCUGUUCUCUAUUCAAGGUGGUUCAUUACAAUCACGGCCUCGUCUUGAUGCCAGCUUGUGGACUUUCAUGAGUUGAACAAACCUAUACGUCAAUCCUAUGAUUCUCCUUCCAGAGGAAGGCUCCUUCUAACUCAGAGCCAAAGUUUAAACAGAGAGAACCAUCAUUUGUGAAAGGUAGACGAGAUCCCACAGAAUGAGUAUUUAUUUGACUCCUGGGGAAAGUGAGGACUCUCAAAUAAUGUCCAAGGCCAUACAAAUGAUUGUUGAGAAGACACAGAGGUGGAAACUAAGUCUGUGCAGUUUACGUGCUACGUUCGGUGCUUGGCAAGUGGGAGGAUUGUGUAUGUUCCGGAUCAAGGCAGGGAUGGGAAUGGAACCUUGUAUGGGAAAUAGGAACAGUGUUGUCCACAUGUUACACGUGUAGAAGUUCAGCAUGAGAGAGUGGGAGCGAUCUACCUGUAGUGCCUCAGAGAAGUAGCAGCUGUUCUAAGGGCAAAGACGAUGAAAAUCCAAACAAUUCUAUGCAAACGAGCAGCCUCCUGUGUCUGCAGCAGAGAGAGGGGAUCCAGGGACACAAAAGCAAAAAUCCAGUUUGCAAGGCCCUCCCAGGUGGAAUGCAAGGAGCCUGGAAUCAGGCACACCAGGCUGUAGAUCCCAUCUCCUCAGUUCACUAGGUGCGGGAUCAUUGGUGAGUGAUUUAACCUCUCUAGGUCUUGAUUUCCCCAAGAUAAAAUCAAAAUAAUAGUCAUUGUGAGGAUUUAAACUAGAUGAGAUACACAGGCCUGUAGCAACAUGAUUCAUUCAUUCCCAACUGUCUUUCCAGGGUUUUUCAGUUGUAUUUCUUCUUCUGCCUUUCACACUGAGGCAAAUGUAAAAGUUAAGGAAAACCCACCAGAAACGAUGUCUGGCUCUGUCUUGGGAAACACGGUGAACUCGCAAAGUUAAGAGUUACUGCGGAACAUAUAAGGUGAACCUUUCAUUUCUUUAAAAGUUGUGAUGUUAUCACCUCCAAUAUGUAUAGUGAGCU